AUACGGAGGAUGCAAGCGUUACUCGGAAUCACUGGGCGUAAAGCGCGCGCAGGCGGCUUGGUAAGUUGGAUGUGAAAGCCUACGGCUCAACCGUAGAACUGCAUCCAAAACUGCCAAGCUAGAGUGUGGGAGAGGAAGAUGGAAUUAGUUGUGUAGGGGUAAAAUCCGUAGAGAUAACUAGGAAUACCAAAAGCGAAGGCAAUCUUCUGGAACACUACUGACGCUGAGGCGCGAAAGCGUGGGGAGCAAACAGGAUUAGAAACCCUAGUAGUCC
rnacentral:rRNA from 1 species